rnacentral:lncRNA from 1 species
UGCAUCUUUUAUGAGAUGGCCACAGGCCGGCCCCUCUUCCCAGGCUCCACAGUGGAAGAACAGCUGCACUUCAUCUUCCGCAUUUUGGGUGAGGAGGAAGUGUGUUUCUAAGGAGCUAUAGGGACAUGCAGGGAAGACCUGAGAUGUGCAGGGUAACUUGUAUUCCUUACUAGGAACCCCAACUGAGGACACAUGGCCAGGUAUCCUGUCCAAUGAAGAGUUUAGAACAUACAACUACCCCAAGUACCGAGCUGAGGCCCUUCUGAGCCAUGCACCCCGGUGAGGCUGGUGGGUAGGUGGGCAUUAGGGGCCAGAGUGUCUGAACUCAGUAUAAAGCACAUCCCCUUACCUUUGUGUUAGACUUGAUAGCGAUGGAGCUGACCUCCUCACCAAGCUGCUGCAGUUUGAGGGUCGCAAUCGGAUCUCUGCUGAGGAUGCCAUGAAACAUCCAUUCUUUCUCAGCUUGGGGGAGCGGAUCCACAAACUUCCUGACACUACUUCCAUAUUUGCACUAAAGGAGGU